rnacentral:rRNA from 1 species
UACGUAGGGGGCUAGCGUUGUCCGGAAUCAUUGGGCGUAAAGCGCGUGUAGGCGGCCCGGUAAGUCCGCUGUGAAAGUCGGGGGCUCAACCCUCGGAUGCCGGUGGAUACUGUCGGGCUCGAGUACGGAAGAGGCGAGUGGAAUUCCUGGUGUAGCGGUGAAAUGCGCAGAUAUCAGGAGGAACACCGAUUGCGAAGGCAGCUCGCUGGGACGUGACUGACGCUCAGGCACGAAAGCGUGGGGAGCAAACAGG